rnacentral:rRNA from 1 species
UACAGAGGGUGCGAGCGUUGUCCGGAAUCACUGGGCGUAAAGGGCGCGUAGGCGGUCUCUUAAGCGUGUGGUGAAAGCCCGGGGCUCAACUCCGGGUCGGCCGUGCGAACUGGGGGACUGGAGCUUGUCAGAGGCAGGCGGAAUUCCGGGGUGUAGCGGUGGAAUGCGUAGAGAUCCGGAAGAACACCGGUGGCGAAGGCGGCCUGCUGGGACAGUGCUGACGCUGAGGCGCGACAGCGUGGGGAGCAAACAGG